AACGAACGCUGGCGGCAUGCCUAACACAUGCAAGUCGAACGAGACCUUCGGGUCUUUUGGCGCACGGGUGCGUAACGCGUGGGAACCUGCCCUUAGGUUCGGAAUAACUCCCCGACAGGGGUGCUAAUACCGGAUAAUGUCUUCGGCCCAAAGAUUUAUCGCCUUUGGAUGGGCCCGCGUUGGAUUAGCUAGUUGGUAGGGGAAAAGCCUACCAAGGCGACGAUCCAUAGCUGGUCUGAGAGGAGGAUCAGCCACACUGGGACUGAGACACGGCCCAGACUCCGACGGGAGGGAGCAGUGGGGAAUAUUGGACAAUGGGCGAAAGUCUGAUCCAGCAAUGCCGCGGGAGUGAUGAAUGCCUUAGGGUUGUAAAGCUCGUUUACCCGGGAUGAUAAUGACAGUACCGGGAGAAGAAGCGCCGGCUAACUCCGUG
rnacentral:rRNA from 1 species